rnacentral:pre_miRNA from 1 species
ACAUACAACUCGGUCGUAAGACUGUCUGGUAAUGUUCAGAUACGACUAGGUUGUACGUGU